UAUAGGUCAUGAUUAAAUGAUUGAUUGAAUUUGAUGUGAAGAUAAGCUUAUACCGCCUAUCGAUCUGUGUUUUACUUUAAGUUUAAUACAUGAGGAUUUCAUUGAGCAGUCAGACUCAACCGCAUAGUCUCUGUGUUUACUAUAAAUAUAAUAUAUAGGCUCAAUAUGAUUGUCAAUUAGGCCUAUAGACUAUGCAUUAUUUUAGGCUAUAGGCUUUAUAUAUGCCUAUAGGCUGAACAUGACAGGUUGUCAAUUAGGCUUAUGCAUUAUUUUAUGUACAGACCUACGUCUAAAAACAAUGACCUUCUGAAUUAACAUAAUCCUAACUAUCAGCAGUUUAAUAAUGAAUUGAUGUUAACUGUUUUUAAUGGCUGUUAAUUGAUUUUAAACUGUUUUAAUGACUGUUAUUUAAUGUUGAACUGUUUUGCGUUUGAGGCUUCCCAAGGCUGCUUUGAUCCUCCAUUCAAUAGUGAUGGCGGCCUGUUAAGUGUUUUUCCUUUGUAUUGGGGCUAUCUAUUUAGGAUAAGAUUCUGCCUGGCUGGCUGUCAAUAACACUAAGACUAUAACAAUAAAAAAACAUAACAAAAAACACAGUCAGUAAAAUAACAUCAAAUAAACAUUAGAAGAUAGAAUCGCCCUAAACAUUUGUUUUAUUCCAAUAUUUUGAAUUUACCGCCCGAUUCCCCAUCGUCUCCGUUCUCCACGUCUGUUGAAUGACGCCGACGCUGACGCGGGUAGCCAGUCUGAAUGGCGAUGGUAACAGACUCGCAGCGCGGUGCGGACGGAGCGCAGCCCGACCUUAUAUCGCUUUGAAAAAACAUCGCUAUAUCAAAUGAAACGGACGAGAACAGUUACCCCUAUGUAAAAUGGAGGAUAGUUUUGAUUGCGACUGUGGUGAGCUUGAGCCACCCGAUUGUUGAGGGCCAGACUACUCUGUGAAGACUAAAAGGCAAGACACCAUUUUGGAUGAGCGGUGGUUUCAACAGGAAGAAGAUUGAGUAAAUACACACAAAAAAAAACACACAAAAAAAUAAUAAUUUGAAAUUGUAGUGCUUUUUGGCGCAAUUGUAAUCAAUGCAGCUCCACAGGAUGAGUCAAUCACUGAAUGUAUCUGCACUGUGAGGAUGCAACAAGAUGCUGUUGUAGUUUUUGAA